GAUGAACGCUGGCGGCGUGCCUAACACAUGCAAGUCGAGCGGCAGCGCGGGGUGCUUGCACCCUGUCGGCGAGCGGCGGACGGCUGAGUAGCGCGUGGGAACGUGCCCCAAAGUGAGGAAUAACUGCCCGAAAGGGUAGCUAAUACCGCAUAUUAUCUUCGGAUCAAAGGAUUUAUCCGCUUUGGGAGCGGCUCGCGUCGGAUUAGGUAGUUGGUGAGGUAAUGGCUCACCAAGCCGACGAUCCGUAGCUGGUCUGAGAGGAUGACCAGCCAGACUGGAACUGAGACACGGUCCAGACUCCUACGGGAGGCAGCAGUGAGGAAUCUUCCACAAUGGGCGAAAGCCUGAUGGAGCAACGCCGCGUGCAGGACGAAGGCCUUCGGGUUGUAAACUGCUUUUAUAAGUGAGGAAUAUGACGGUAACUUAUGAAUAAGAAUCGGCUAACUACGUG
rnacentral:rRNA from 1 species